rnacentral:rRNA from 1 species
UGAAAAGAAACUUGGAGAGAGAGUUCAAGAGAGCGUGAAACCGUUGGGAGGGAAGUCCGGGGUGCCGAGGCGGUCCGUCCCUCGGGAGUUCAGCGGGCCCCAUCGGGGACCGUGCACUCUCCCGGGGGACUCGGUGACCGUCAGCUUGUGCGAGGCCCGUCUUCGAGCGUCCGACGGGGAGGUGCCGUCUCUGCCCCUCGGGGAGAGACGGUCGUACAGCCCGACGGCGGCGUCGACGUGGCCAUCGCUCUGGAGUGCAGCGGGACAUCGUUCCGCGUGGUGACAGGUGCGGUGCCUCCUCCGGGAGGCAGCGGGCCCCGGCCGCGGUUCUCCUCUCCGGGCUCGGACUUUCCGUUGGGAGGUCGCGUCUCGCGGCGCGUCCCCUCUUCGGUUCCGGGUCCGUGGAGUGUCCCGCGGUCGAAGGUCUCGUCGGCCGCGCCGAGGCAGCUGGCGUAGAGUCGGUCCCCCGUGCCCCGUCUUGAAAACACGGAA